ACCAGACUCCUACGGGAGGCAGCAGUGGGGGAUAUUGCACAAUGGGGGAAACCCUGAUGCAGCGACGCCGCGUGUGGGAAGACGGUCUUCUGGAUUGUAAACCACUGUCCCCAGGGACGAAAAUGACGGUACCUGGGGAGGAAGCUCCGGCUAACUACGUGCCAGCAGCCGCGGUAAUACGUAGGGAGCAAGCGUUGUCCGGAAUUACUGGGUGUAAAGGGAGCGUAGGCGGAAUGCCAAGUCAGCGGUAAAAUCGCGGGGCUCAACCUCGCUCCGCCGUUGAAACUGGCGUUCUUGAGUGGGCGAGAAGUAUGCGGAAUGCGUGGUGUAGCGGUGAAAUGCAUAGAUAUCACGCAGAGCUCCGAUUGCGAAGGCAGCAUACCGGCGCCCAACUGACGCUGAAGCACGAAAGCGUGGGUAUCGAACAGGAUUAGAUACCCGCGUAC
rnacentral:rRNA from 1 species